rnacentral:lncRNA from 1 species
GGAAAUUCAAAGACAGAGCCCCAUGCUUUGGUUGACAGCCAUGUAAUUCCUAACCCAAUUAGGAAAUCAAAGCAGUUAAUGUGUAAAAGGAGCAGAGCAUUUGAUGUGUGGAGAGAAGAUCAAAAGCCCUUGAACCCAAACUAUUUCUCCUAUACAUAUACAGUGUGCAGCUGACAGGUUGCAGGAUGGGAUGUUCUGGUCUUCUCAGUGCUGUUGAACAAAGAAGGCCAGAGUUGGUCAGAGCAGGUCAGAGUGCCAGCUCCCAGAUAAGCAGGUCUCUGCUGCAUUCAUCACCAGGAGGUCUGUCAAACACCACAGUGCAAGAGACCCUCAGACAGGAACAUCUGGCAGAGACCAACAUGAAGGACCAGCUGUUUGCUUCAGGACUGGCUUGGCUGAACAUUGUGCAGCUGAGCACCGGGAGAAGGAGAAGGAGACUGUCGAGGAAGAAAUCCCACAGAAGCAAUAAAUCUGAAGGAACAGGACCGGGCUUUUAGUUCCUUUGAUUCGGACACAGGACAGGAGCAAGGAGCCUGGACAGAGGCAGUAUACCAAAAGAUGAAUGGGGUUUUUGUUUUAGCCUAAUAUAGACACAAACUCUUCUACAAUUAUCCUCCUGCACAAAUGAUCCUGGUUCUGCCCUGAAGGCCUUCUGAAGCCUUGUCUACUUGCUGUGCAUGACCUGAAACCAUUGCUCCCUCGUAUUCAGCAGUAUCACUAUGAUUUUCUGUUUGUGCUCCUCCAUGGAUCCUGCAAUUACUGUCCUAAGUUUCCCCAAAACAGGAAUGUUUUGUGUUGUUGUUUCUAAAAUAAUAGUUUCCAGAGGCCAUUCUCUACCACACAAUAAACAUUUGAAAGCAGCAUUGUGUUUUGAGGCA